GCGGAGGCGGGCGUUGCUACGGCAACGGUGGGCGGCCAGGGAGUUGCCUGAGGGAAAAGGGGCAGACGUCCCUGGGUUCCGGUGUUCGCGGAGGAGUCGAGGCACGGAGAGGCUUCGGGGGAGGGACGGAAAGAAGGGUGGCCCGCCAGGCGGGCGGGGUCCAUGGAUUCGGGCAGAAGAAUAGAAGGAAGGUGAUAGGAUGUGAUGAUAGAAUUUGUGAUAGCCAAGCAACAACUUUUCCUAAUUCGGCAUGUUAAAAAAUAAGGGUCACUCAUCUAAGAAAGAUAACUUGGCAGUCAAUGCAGUUGCUUUACAAGAUCACAUUUUACAUGAUCUUCAACUUCGAAAUCUUUCAGUUGCAGAUCAUUCUAAGACACAAGUACAAAAGAAAGAGAACAAAUCUCUAAAAAGAGAUACAAAGGCAAUAAUAGAUACUGGACUUAAAAAAACUACACAGUGCCC
rnacentral:lncRNA from 1 species